CCUACGGGGGGCAGCAGUGGGGAAUAUUGCACAAUGGGGGAAACCCUGAUGCAGCGACGCCGCGUGAGUGAAGAAGUCAUUCGUUCCGUAAAGCUCUAUCAGCAGGGAAGAAAAUGACGGUCCCUGAGUAAGAAGCCCCGGCUAAGUGCGUGCCAGCAGCCGCGGUAAUACGUAGGGGGCAAGCGUUAUCCGGAUUUACUGGGUGUAAGGGGAGCGUAGACGGGGCGUCAGGUCUGGAGUGAAAUGCCGCAGCUUAACUGGGGAACUGCUUUGGAAACUGGCGAACUAGAGGGCGGGAGGGGUAAGCGGAAUGCGUAGUGUAGCGGUGAAAUGCGUAGAUAUUAGGAGGAACACCGGUGGCGAAGGCGGCUUACUGGACCGUAACUGACGUUGAGGCUCGAAAGCGUGGGGAGCAAACAGGAUUAGAUACCCGAGUAGUC
rnacentral:rRNA from 1 species